UACAGGGGGGGCAAGCGUUGUUCGGAAUUACUGGGCGUAAAGGGCUCGUAGGUGGCCAACUAAGUCGGACGUGAAAUCCCUCAGCUUAACUGGGGAACUGCGUCCGAUACUGGAUGGCUUGAGUUUGGGAGAGGGAUGCGGAAUUCCAGGUGUAGCGGUGAAAUGCGUAGAUAUCUGGAGGAACACCGGUGGCGAAGGCGGCUUCCUGGUCUGCGACUGACGCUGAGGCGCGAAAGCUAGGGGAGCGAACGGG
rnacentral:rRNA from 1 species